rnacentral:rRNA from 1 species
AUUGAACGCUGGCGGCAGGCCUAACACAUGCAAGUCGAGCGGAUGAAGGGAGCUUGCUCCUGGAUUCAGCGGCGGACGGGUGAGUAAUGCCUAGGAAUCUGCCUGGUAGUGGGGGAUAACGUCCGGAAACGGGCGCUAAUACCGCAUACGUCCUGAGGGAGAAAGUGGGGGAUCUUCGGACCUCACGCUAUCAGAUGAGCCUAGGUCGGAUUAGCUAGUUGGUGGGGUAAAGGCCUACCAAGGCGACGAUCCGUAACUGGUCUGAGAGGAUGAUCAGUCACACUGGAACUGAGACACGGUCCAGACUCCUACGGGAGGCAGCAGCGGGGAAUAUUGGACAAUGGGCGAAAGCCUGAUCCAGCCAUGCCGCGUGUGCGAAGAAGGUCUUCGGAUUGUAAAGCACUUUAAGUUGGGAGGAAGGGCAGUAAGUUAAUACCUUGCUGUUUUGACGUUACCAACAGAAUAAGCACCGGCUAACUUCGUG